AAAUUGAAGAGUUUGAUCAUGGCUCAGAUUGAACGCUGGCGGCAGGCCUAACACAUGCAAGUCGAACGGUAACAGGAAGCAGCUUGCUGCUUUGCUGACGAGUGGCGGACGGGUGAGUAAUGUCUGGGAAACUGCCUGAUGGAGGGGGAUAACUACUGGAAACGGUAGCUAAUACCGCAUAACGUCGCAAGACCAAAGAGGGGGACCUUCGGGCCUCUUGCCAUCGGAUGUGCCCAGAUGGGAUUAGCUAGUAGGUGGGGUAACGGCUCACCUAGGCGACGAUCCCUAGCUGGUCUGAGAGGAUGACCAGCCACACUGGAACUGAGACACGGUCCAGACUCCUACGGGAGGCAGCAGUGGGGAAUAUUGCACAAUGGGCGCAAGCCUGAUGCAGCCAUGCCGCGUGUAUGAAGAAGGCCUUCGGGUUGUAAAGUACUUUCAGCGGGGAGGAAGGUGUUGAGGUUAAUAACCUCAGCAAUUGACGUUACCCGCAGAAG
rnacentral:rRNA from 1 species